ACUGCAUUGAUAUUCUUGUGGCGAUUCUGCUGCCUCCUCUGGGAGUCUUCCUCAAGUUUGCCUGUGGGGUGGAGUUUUGGAUAUGCUUGUUGUUGACACUGUUUGGUUACAUUCCUGGAAUUAUCUAUGCUAUCUAUGCUAUCACCAAGUGAAAUGUGAAGGGCAUAAAUGUCAUUUUAGUGUGAUGGGUUGAUAAUUAUCUUGAGUUCGGGGAUCCCUUUUGCUGUCAUUUUACUUCUUUUCUUGUUUUUUUGUUUUAACACAUUUUAUUUGAUGGGCUCCUCCUGCAUUGCAUUACUGUAAGUUGUGAUCAAAAGUGGUGUGUAUUAGCUUCUUUUAUUCAGAUAAAAGGGAAAAAAAAAAAAACUCUUUGGAUCA